UUUUUUUCCUGCCGGCUCGCCUGGCCCCGCCCCCCGGGGCCUCCCUGGGCCAAUGGGAGCCGAGGGGGCUGGCUCGAGGACGCCGGGGCUCCCGUCGCGCGGCCUCGGACCCGGGACUCAGUCUGCGCGAGGGAAGCCACGAGGACGGGACGGGCAAGAAGCUGCAUGCACAGGAAGCGGGGCUGGGGGCGCCUCUCCUGGACCUUCUCUCCAUUGCGGAGGUCGGCGACAGACAGCUCUUCCAAAGCCAAGGGGAUUGCUCUUUUCUUCUCUCUCUCUCCCUCCCUCCUUCCCUCUCUCUUUCCCCCCUUCCCCCUUCAAAACGCGUUGUCUCUGGCUCUGCAAACCGUGAGCUAACCGCAGCCUUGGAUUGAUCCAAGGGACCCUGGUUUUCGUCCUGUGAAGUGAUGUCAGACACCAGCAAAUAAAUCAUUCUUUCACCAGAAAUGUUGUAAUAAAGGGCUGUGAAAGAUGUGAAUCUUGUUCCUGGCAAGAAAAACACAAAGAAAGAUUUCCACAGGAAAACCA